GUGCUGAAGAGGGUAUCAUUGUUCCCUAUAUUGACUAUCAUUCUUUAACUUUGUCAGCUGAAUUGAUUUAUUUGCAGUUGAUUUUCAUGAGUGGUACAUAG